rnacentral:rRNA from 1 species
CCUACGGGUGGCAGCAGUGGGGAAUAUUGCACAAUGGGGGAAACCCUGAUGCAGCGACGCCGCGUGAGUGAAGAAGUAUUUCGGUACGUAAAGCUCCAUCAGCAGGGAAGAAAAAAAGUCCUUUGGACUUUGGACGGUACUUGACCAAGAAGCCCCGGCUAACUACGUGCUAGCAGCCGCGGUAAUACGUAGGGGGAAAGCGUUAUCCGGAUUUAUUGGGUGUAAAGGGAGCGUAGACGGCAGCGCAAGUCUGGGGUGAAAUGCCGGGGCCCAACCCCGGAACUGCUUUGGCAACUGGGCAGCUGGAGUGCAGGGAAGGUAAGCGGAAUUCCUGGUGUAGCGGUGAAAUGCGUAGAUAUUAGGAAGAACACCGGUGGCGAAGGCAGCUUACUGGACUGUAACUGACGUUGAGGCUCGAAAGCGUGGGGAGCAAACAGGAUUAGAUACCCCAGUAGUC